UGUGUUAGAUAGUACGACUGGGCCAGGGGCAGAGUGAUAGCUAGUAUUCAAUGGAUCAAAUGACUAUACGAUUAAUCAGUGAAGGCAGGAUGUAGGGAGACCUACGCAGAGAGCGGGGUUUGUGAGACAGCUCCAGACAGAGUUUCUGGACUAGGAGAUAGGAGCGAUCCGCUGGGAGAGGGCUGAAUCGACGGAUACAACCUGUUGGCUUGGAUGAGACCACGGGACCUCUCAGCCUCCGAGGUGAUGAAGAAAGGAUGGCUGCUUUACAGAUGGUUCAGAAGGAGCAUAUCGGGAUAGAUGGAGUAUACUCACAUGCAUGAAGAUGAAAUCGAUGACUCAGCCUUUUAUCGGACAAUGCAACGUCUAUGCUUACCCAACUCACUUUGACAGGUUAAGUUGGCACGUAUAUGAAGAUGCCUCUGCCCUCUGAGCUGUAUUGAGGUGAUCCCGGAAUAUUCAAGUUGUGACACUACGUUUACUUGGGAAUUAUUUCUGUGAUGUGAUCAGGAUAUUGGAUACUUAUGAAGUGCCAUGAUCUGUUAGAAGUACCUGACCAGUCUUGAUACUCAAGAGGAAGAUUUGGAUAGUACGGAUGUGGUUAAAGAUAGAUGUCUCUGAAGGUGGACAGAUUGAAGAGUGAUGAUGGACGUAUAUGAAGAGAAAUUUGCUGAUGCGGCGAAAAGUGCUUCACAAUCACACCACCUCGGCUGUAGAAUAGCUUGCGACAACAAAAGCCAGCCACCCGCGUGAAGGGACCAAAGACUCCAAGCUCUGACGUCAGACGCUGGUCAUCAAAUGACAUACCUGUCGCAGCUGACACGAUGAUGAGGUAUGGUUGCUGUGUAUGUGACAAUUUCAUGAACCAGCACCAUGUUAAACCACCUGCAUGGUAAUAUUUCAGAACCAUUGGCUUUUCCUCACAACAAUUUCUUUUUAUUCACAAAUAAAUUGCUUUCUGUCAGGACAAGGCUGGUAUAACUCAUGUUAUGGAAAUAAGAACAAUAAAUUGUGACAUUUGUUGUCAGAUUUGAAAUUUGACUU